CCCCUCUCAAGAUCGCAUCUGGAGAGUUUCCAAUACUCUAUCAGUCUCAGCCACGGGAGGGAGAGUCAAGCAAUGCCCAUUCCAUUCCUGGCUAGGGCAGUGGCUAGCGAGUGGAAGACAAUCUGCUACAAGU